UAGGGCUGUCUCUUCACUCUUCCACCCGUCAUUGAACAUGUCGUGGUCGGGAUGCUUCCGAUCGGUUGCCUGUGCGGUUCUACCCUCUUGUGGGUAGCGAAGUCGUCCCUUGAUGGAUAUUUGCUUGCCCUUGUGACAUUUUUGUGUCGUUCGGGCAGCCGAAAUGUCGGCGAUAUCCUUGUGUUGGCGCGUGGUCGAAUGCYGUGUUGCUAUCACUUGGGUUUUUGCCGGCUCUCACGGAUGCGGUGCCUAGCGCUUGCUCUGYGGGACUUUGCCCCRCAGAGUUCGGGAGGUCCCUUGUACGAAUCAUUGCUCUUAUACGCCGUCUUGUCGUGCCGCUGCCGCGGCACGCAGAUCGUGUUCUUUCGUGCAGUCGUUGACAGCACGAUAGCGAACAUUAGUGUCCGGAGCGUGGCCUUGUGCACGUGGAAUGCCUCUCMGAUCGUAUGA
rnacentral:misc_RNA from 1 species